AAAAAACAAUUCCAGUCUUGACGUCAUGCGAGCGAUGAAUAUUUAGCGAUUGUGAUUUGGUUAUUUUAGUGGAGUUUAUAGUGGACUAUCAUUGAUGUGUUUUGUGAAAUAACAGAAAUGGAGACUGAACGGAUGAUAGAAGACACCAUACCGCCGCAGGUGACGUCACUGACAUGCCUCGACACGGGCGUGCGGCCGGCGCCGAGCAGCGCCGCGUACGCUGCCGAAAGGGACGCCUGCCUCAACUACUUCGCGCGGUGGAACGAGACAGACCAGGUUGAAUUCGUCGAGCAGCUGCUCGCUCGUAUGUGUCACUACCAACACGGCCACAUCAACGCCUACCUCAAGCCGAUGCUGCAGAGGGACUUCAUUAGUAUGCUUCCGAAAAAAGGCCUAGACCACGUAGCGGAGAACAUACUGUCAUACCUCGACGCUCGCUCGCUUUGCGCGGCGGAGCUGGUGUGCCGCGAGUGGCAGCGCGUCAUAUCUGAGGGCAUGCUGUGGAAGAAGCUGGUCGAGCGGAAGGUGCGCACCGACUCGCUGUGGCGCGGACUGGCCGAGCGGCGCGGCUGGAUACAAUACCUGUUCAAGCCGAAGCCGGGCUGCCAGCAUCCGUCCCACUCUUUCUACAGGCAACUCUACCCCAAAAUCAUACAGGACAUACGAUCCAUCGAGGACAACUGGCGGAUGGGAAGACACAACUUGCAGAGGAUAAAUUGCAGAUCUGAAAACUCCAAAGGCGUGUAUUGCCUACAAUACGACGACAACAAAAUUGUCUCUGGGCUCAGAGACAACACCAUCAAAAUAUGGGACAGGAAAACUUUACAGUGUGUCAAGGAGCUCCAAGGGCACACGGGCUCCGUCCUCUGCCUACAAUACGACGAGCGCGCCAUCAUAUCAGGCUCAUCAGACUCCACAGUCCGCGUGUGGGACGUAACAACAGGCGCCAUGCUGAACACGCUCAUACACCACUGCGAGGCGGUUCUUCAUCUACGCUUCUGCAGCGGGAUGAUGGUCACUUGCAGCAAGGUGUGUCGCCGUGAUCCCCUCGUGCCCGCCAUUGAUCCCCUCGGCCGAGUUACAUUGAUCCCCUCAUCCAAGUAACAUUGAUCCCCUCAUCCAAGUAACAUUGAUCCCCUCCCAUUGAUCCCCUCAUCCAAGUAACAUUGAUCCCCUCAUCCAAGUAACUUUGAUCCCCUCCCAUUGAUCCCCUCAUCCAAGUAACAUUGAUCCCCUCCCAUUGAUCCCCUCAUCCAAGUAACAUUGAUCCCCUCAUCCCUCUGUCAUUGAUCCCUCUGUUA